AGAAGAGAAGAGAGGAGA
rnacentral:sRNA from 1 species